rnacentral:rRNA from 1 species
UACGUAGGGGGCAAGCGUUGUCCGGAAUCAUUGGGCGUAAAGAGCGCGUAGGCGGUCCGGUAAGUCCGCUCUGAAAGUCCGGGGCUCAACCCCGGGAGGCGGGCGGAUACUGCCGGGCUAGAGUCCGGAAGAGGCGAGUGGAAUUCCUGGUGUAGCGGUGAAAUGCGUAGAUAUUGGGAGGAACACCAGUGGCGAAGGCGGCUCACUGGACCGGUACUGACGCUGAUGCGCGAAAGCGUGGGGAGCAAACGGG